AACGAACGCUGGCGGCAUGCCUAACACAUGCAAGUCGAACGAGACCUUCGGGUCUAGUGGCGCACGGGUGCGUAACGCGUGGGAACCUGCCCUUAGGUUCGGAAUAACUCCCCGAAAGGGGUGCUAAUACCGGAUAAUGUCUUCGGACCAAAGAUUUAUCGCCUUUGGAUGGGCCCGCGUUGGAUUAGCUAGUUGGUAGGGUAAAAGCCUACCAAGGCGACGAUCCAUAGCUGGUCUGAGAGGAUGACCAGCCACACUGGGACUGAGACACGGCCCAGACUCCGACGGAAGGCAGCAGUAGGGAAUAUUGUACGAGGAGCGAAAGCCUGAUCCAGCAGUGCCGCGUGAGUGAUGAAGGCCUUAGGGUUGUAAAGCUCUUUUACCCGGGAUGAUAAUGACAGUACCGGGAAAAUAAGCUCCGGCUAACUCCGUG
rnacentral:rRNA from 1 species